rnacentral:misc_RNA from 1 species
UUAGGAAUCCCAAAAUAAGAAAAUUCUUAAACCAAUACCACCACAUAAUCCCAAACCAAUUUAACUUCCUGAAUAUAAUAAAAUACUACUUCUUAGAUAGUAAUAAAAUACCUAAAUAAUAUAAACUUCUUAACUAAAAGAAAUCUAAACUUCCUAAUUUUACAAUGAAAAAUAUCAUUCUUCCCUAGUUGGAGAGCUUAAGUUUGAAGUGCAAAAGAAUCAAGAACCGAAUUCAGAGAAAAAAGCAAUUCUAUCUUCUUGAAUGGUGGCAAUAAGCUUGAAACAAAGAACUUCAUGCAUUCCUUCUUACCCUAGAAACGUUUAAACAUAGAAAAACAGUCAAAGUAGAAAGGCUCUUCACUAGGAACAAAAGAAUUAACUAAAUCUUUAAUUUCCAUUGUUGUCUCCAUUGCAGCUAAAUCUUCAAUUUCCAUUUUCAUAUCUAUGACUUGACUUUCUCUGUUUUCUACGAUACAUUCCUCAUUUUUUUUUCACUAGCUUCUACAAGUUUUUCAACAUGUGAAGUCUCAACAACCAAAGCUUCAGAUUCUUCAGACUUAGGUUCUUCAAGCUGCUCUUUGUUCUUCAAUUUCAACUCUUUUAAGUUGCUCUUUUUGUUCUUCAUGAUGAAGUUGUCCUCGCAUAAUACCUUUAACAACUCUUUAAACAUCAUCAAGCUCUGCUUUUAUUUUAACAAAACAUGAGAUAGUGUAUUCCCCUUUACAUAAUUCAAUUCUCUAUCCCUAACUCAUAAGAGUCGUUUUAUAUCCCGAUAUUCUCUUUCCUUAUUCCACAGAAUUUGUUGGAUAUCUUAAUAUUUAUAACAUAAAUCAAGUUUACUGACAUAUUUAUUCAACCAAUAACCAAGAUUAGCUAAUUUGACCCCAUAGUAAUUGAUUUCAUUUUGUAAUUUUCCAAUGUCAACUUUGUAGUAAUCGAUUUCAUGUUGUACUCUCUCAAUGUGAGUCUAUAACAUGAAAUUCUAAUUAAAAAAGCAUAUCUCAUUGGAGAAACACAAAUUUCAGCUUUUAGGAAAUGUUUCUAGCCAAACAGGAUGCCAAAAUUGGAAUCAGCAUGUCGAAAUCAGUAUGCAAGGGUCCUCCAAAAUUUUAGUUGACGUGUGGCGAGUGAUGAUGUGGCAAUUGACAAAGGAGUUCAAUGGUGAGUGAUGAUGUGGCAAUCAUUGAUGUGGCAAUGAUAAGUGUCCUUUGUGAACUCCUUAGGCUGAGUUGCGAGUCGGGUUGCCUACUGACCCAGUUGAAUCUCACUGCAGGGGCUUCACAAAGGAGUUCUGAAAAUGGGAACAGAGCCACCAGUUGAUGGUGAAGGGCAAGAGAGGGUCAGGAGUAAGAAAUUGUCAAGAUUCAAGCAGGUCUCAAAUUAGGUUGAAAUCUGACCUGGACGAAUCUAAGCUUCCAAUCAAUGUCAAGCAGUCAAAUUUGCUUGGGAAAGGUAGCCUAGAUGUCUCCAAUCGCCUGGCAAUGCAGACACGGCUAUUUGGUGGCCGGCAAUGGUGACUCUAGUUAACAUAAUUUGGGUUGUUAGGAGAAAGGCAAGGAAAGUAUCUGUUUCAUGAGAGAUCUUGACUCUGUUGAAUUGUGUACAAAUCGUGGUGUUUUGUUUAAUAGGCAGUGGUUGAACUUGCGAUGGACAGACUUGCAAAGAUUUGCGACACUGUGGGUAUGUUGUGCAAAGGGUGGUGGACUUGGGUUUCAAAAAUUUAGUAUCAAAGCUAUAGCAAAGUAGGCUUGGAAGCAAUAAUUGAGAGGUAAGGAAGUGACUCAGCAAAGAAAAAGCAAACAGUAAACAUAAUGAAAAUUUUGAGGCCAAAAAAAACACUGGUGGGAUUUUGAGGCUUUGCACCAAAUUAAUGUAGAACGAGAAGGGUAAUGAGAAACAAAUUCUCAAAGGGAUGAAAAACACUUUCUCAAAGGGUAGAGAAAAACAUUCUCAAUUUAUUAAUUCCUCAAUCGAAUAAUAUCUUUAAUAAAAUACUUGUAGUAUAUCAACCAGUCCUACUACUAUUAGGAUUAGGA